UACAGAGGGGGCGAGCGUUGUUCGGAAUUACUGGGCGUAAAGGGCGCGUAGGCGGCCCGCUAAGUCGAACGUGAAAUCCCCAGGCUCAACCUGGGAACUGCGUCCGAUACUGGCAGGCUUGAAUCCGGGAGAGGGAUGUGGAAUUCCAGGUGUAGCGGUGAAAUGCGUAGAUAUUGGGAGGAACACCAGUGGCGAAGGCGGCUCACUGGACCGGUACUGACGCUGAUGCGCGAAAGCGUGGGGAGCAAACGGG
rnacentral:rRNA from 1 species